GUCCCUUCCAACUCUACAAUUCUAUGAUUCUAUGCCUGAACUCAUGAAGUCAUAGAAUCAUGGAAUCAUAGAGUUGAAACAGAC